CUAACUUUUAUUCUCUCUCAUUUUUUCGAUCCAGACUCUCCAGUCCAUCAUCGCUUCUCUCAGUCCAGACCCACCCACCUACCCUCACCCUCACCGACCGGCACCGCCGCUUUUUCUUCUUUCCUCUCCGCCCUAUUCUCUCUGGACUCUCCAGUCUCUCCGUCAGAUUCGGCCUUCGGGAACAGAUUCUUCUCAUUCUUCUUCAAAUUCGGCCUUCGGGAACAAAUUCUUUGCUUCGGCAACAAAGAUUUCAGGUUUUCAGGUCGCUCUUGAAUAUCUCGGCGGAAGAGUUCGAAAUGGCCUUGAUCACAUCCUUCUGUUAGUCUAUUAAAGCCAUUGCCCAUAAAUUUGCUUCUUUUUUCUUCGGGCUAUUUCUUCUGUUACACGAAUGGCACCUACACACAAUACUUGGAUUACAGUUUUACGCCGAAAGUUGAGAGCCUGGUGACAUUGGAUAAUUUCACUCACUCAUUGACGCUUUAAAAAUUCUGUAGAUAUUGGGAGAGUAAUCAUAAAUUUUGGGAUUGUUUCACUUUUACCGUAAAAAAUCUGUGUAUUUAUAAAUUUCUAAUGUGUCCACUUUCUACUCAUGAUUAGUUUCUAGAACAGAGGUUGAAAUGUAUAAAACACUUGAUCCUCUGUUUCGUAUGGUCAUCUUGAAGGCACCUUGUGACAUUCAUUGGAGGGACUUUUUAUUAAAAGAUGAGGAACCUUUCUCAUAUGGAUCAACUUUACCUGAUGAUGUGACUCCCCCUACUGCAGCAAAUUAGUUAAUUGUUUAAUGAUUCAUCAUGUAUGUUUGUUUGCUAAUUUGUGAGAAAGUUUUAUGUGUUUGUUUUAAUUUUGAACUUAGAUUAUUUAAUGUCUCUUCAGCAUGUUAAAUAGGUGGAGAAACAAAUCUUUA